rnacentral:rRNA from 1 species
AAAGUUGGAAGAGUUGCGAACGGGUGAGUAACGCGUAGGUAACCUGCCUACUAGCGGGGGAUAACUAUUGGAAACGAUAGCUAAUACCGCAUAACAGCAUUUAACCCAUGUUAGAUGCUUGAAAGGAGCAAUUGCUUCACUAGUAGAUGGACCUGCGUUGUAUUAGCUAGUUGGUGAGGUAACGGCUCACCAAGGCGACGAUACAUAGCCGACCUGAGAGGGUGAUCGGCCACACUGGGACUGAGACACGGCCCAGACUCCUACGGGAGGCAGCAGUAGGGAAUCUUCGGCAAUGGGGGCAACCCUGACCGAGCAACGCCGCGUGAGUGAAGAAGGUUUUCGGAUCGUAAAGCUCUGUUGUAAGAGAAGAACGUGUGUGAGAGUGGAAAGUUCACACAGUGACGGUAACUUACCAGAAAGGGACGGCUAACUACGUGCCAGCAGCCGCGGUAAUAC